AAGCGUUCUCAGGGCGGGGUGCAAUUCCCCACCGGCGGUGAUGGCGACCUGUUCGCACGAGCCCGCGAGCGCCCGCAGCGUGCAACGCGCCGCGGGGUCAGCAGACCUGGUGAGAUCCCGGGGCCGACGGUCACAGUCCGGAUGAAAGAGAGCGCGG
rnacentral:ncRNA from 2 species